GACGAACGCUGGCGGCGUGCUUAACACAUGCAAGUCGAACGGAAAGGCCCUGCUUUUGUGGGGUGCUCGAGUGGCAAACGGGUGAGUAACACGUGAGUAACCUGCCCUUGACUUUGGGAUAACUUCAGGAAACUGGGGCUAAUACCGGAUAGGAGCUCCUGCUGCAUGGUGGGGGUUGGAAAGUUUCGGCGGUUGGGGAUGGACUCGCGGCUUAUCAGCUUGUUGGUGGGGUAGUGGCUUACCAAGGCUUUGACGGGUAGCCGGCCUGAGAGGGUGACCGGCCACAUUGGGACUGAGAUACGGCCCAGACUCCUACGGGAGGCAGCAGUGGGGAAUAUUGCACAAUGGGCGGAAGCCUGAUGCAGCAACGCCGCGUGCGGGAUGACGGCCUUCGGGUUGUAAACCGCUUUCGCCUGUGACGAAGCGUGAGUGACGGUAAUGGGUAAAGAAGCGCCGGCUAACUACGUG
rnacentral:rRNA from 1 species